UAGCCUCUCAGUUAUAAAUGUGGCGCGCAACACACCCAUAAGUGAGACUCUAUUAAGCACGGCUUUGUAGACUCCCUAACACGAACUGCUCUGAUACCACUUUGUCACUCAUUCAUUCCUUUUUAUAACUAUCAUGGGCUAGCAUGGCCACAACUCGUUAUGUAAAAUUUGUAAGUGGAAAAUGUUAUAUCAAUGAACCAUUGUUCAUAAAACAUGAAUACAUAUGGGUUGUCAUGAAUACAUAUGGGUUGUCAAGGCCUCUAACAUACUAUACAUAGUAAACCAGUGUCUACAAAGCUAAGAUUAUUUGACACCAAAUGGGAUAGGGUACCGGCCUACCCAUAAGUCUGUAGCAAAACUUUGACACGUUGACUCUUAGAUUCCACUGCACUCCGAAUGAGGUGGAGUCUUACCGAUCCUUCAUUGAAUGCCAAUCUCGUCAACUAUGAGGGCUCGUCAAACUAUUAUCUAUACCUGGAGGCAUGAGUGCAGCGUCCCAAAUAAAAGGAUGUCAGUACAAAUAAUGUACCGAGUAUGUAAGGCAUGUAAAUAAGUAUAUAAAGAAGAUGGAAGGAACAUGGAGUAAAAAAUUCAGCCUGUAAGUCUAGAUAGUUCUGUAAAUUGUGAAAUAAUUAUAGUGUCAUGCAUAUACGUAUGAAUGUCAUGUCGUGCAUAGGUGCAUGUUUCAUAACAUCAUCAGGCCUCUGAGGCAUCCCAUCAGAUCAUCUCGGCCACUGUGGGCAAAGUCAUCAAUGUAUACCAGCUGAUCAGGUGGUGGUGCAUAUAUAACGUCGUACUCUUCCCCCCCCCCCCACACACACAUAUGUAUUUAACGUCGUCUAUGUCAUAUUUCAGCCGCUAGGACAACAUCAUUAUCGUAUACCAGCUGAUCAGGUUGUGGUGCGUAUAUAACGCCGUAACUUUUUCUCAUAUCUCAUAUACAUAUAUAAACAUAUAUAUACGUGUAUAUAACGCCGUCUGAGUCAUGGGUAAAUAUGCAUGUAUAAAUGCAUGAAAUGCAUAUUAAAUAUGUUAAUAAAAUUUCUCGGUACGUCAUAAGACCAUUAUGCCUCUGGUUAAUAUCAUCAGAUAAUAUGACACAUAUAUGAACUUUGACAAAAUUACGCACACAACUUGCGAUUAACAUAACAAAAAGGAGAUGAUACUGAAGGAAGAUGCUUCUGAAAUAAUAUUUUCUCAUUUCUAACUUUUGUAAUCAUAGGAUAAUAUCAAUCGUAGUGGAAACACUUGAUAAAUCUUCAAGUCUACCAGUUACAAUAUGCGCAUAACAGACCAGAAAGAGUACCAACAAGAACUAGUGGAAACCAGUAAAGUCUACACUCUAGAGAAGGAAAGAAUUAGUUUCACAAUGUAACGACAGACAUUUUGUAUAACCUAGUAUCUGUAUAGAAAGCAAUCAUCUUCCUGCAGAUGGCUGCCUACAAUCUAUAGAUUUUUAUAAUCUACUUCUGAGCAUUUCAUACUUGAAAAAUCACACCAAAUAACCCCAUAUCUUAAAAAAAAAAUAAAGAAAGAAAUCAAGUAGACCUUAAUGACAAGUAUUUCGGUGCUAAUCUGUUAAUAAUGGAAGUUGUGCAUUUGCUCGUUUCGUUCGUGUCAUAUAAAUCAUGACAAAAAGAAAGAAGAGAUAACCUUAACAUACCUAAGUCGAUUCUCUUGACAAUUCCUUUAACAAGCUUGAACCAAAAAAACAUUUCACUCCUUAAAUUAAAACUUCAGCUAUUCAACAAAUGCCUUAUUGAUAAAAGAUUUUAUUUCUAAAGUAUAAAUUUUGGUAUUAAAAUCUGAAACAUAGAAAGAAAUGUAAGCCAAACCAAAAGGCAGUAAACAUGUCAACUUGGAAACUGGAAAGAAAUAGCUCUAAAAUAUUUCACUCUCGCUUCACCAUAUAAGAUAAAAGUUGAAAUGGUUCUCUCAGUUGUUCUUAGCAAAGAUAAUCAGAACUUUUUAUGGAAG
rnacentral:lncRNA from 1 species